rnacentral:rRNA from 1 species
GACGAACGCUGGCGGCGUGCUUAACACAUGCAAGUCGAACGGAAAGGCCCCUUUGGGGGUACUCGAGUGGCGAACGGGUGAGUAACACGUGAGUAACCUGCCCUUGACUUCGGGAUAACUUCAGGAAACUGGGGCUAAUACCGGAUAGGAAUCCUUGCUGCAUGGUGGGGGUUGGAAAGCUUCGGCGGUUUUGGAUGGACUCGCGGCUUAUCAGCUUGUUGGUGGGGUAGUGGCUUACCAAGGCUUUGACGGGUAGCCGGCCUGAGAGGGCGACCGGCCACAUUGGGACUGAGAUACGGCCCAGACUCCUACGGGAGGCAGCAGUGGGGAAGAUUGCACAAUGGGCGGAAGCCUGAUGCAUCAACGCCGCGUGCGGGAUGACGGCCUUCGGGUUGUAAACCGCUUUCAGCAGGGGCGAAGCUUGUGGUGACGGUACCUGCAGAAGAAGCACCGGCUAACUACGUG